UUCUCUUUAUCUCUCAGGAAAGAGUAAUUAACCAUGCAGCUGGCAGUCAUGGAGUGUCAGGAAUAUUCAUGAAAUAUGAUAUCAGUUCCCUUAUGGUGACAGUGACAGAGGAACACAUGCCUUUUUGGCAGUUCUUAGUACGGCUCUGUGGCAUUAUCGGGGGAAUUUUUUCAACUACAGGAAUUUUACAUGGCUUUGGGAGAUUUGUAGCAGAAGUUAUUUUUUGCCGUUUCAGACUGGGCUCCUACAGACGUACAUCGGACCCACUUCCCGAUGGCCACACAAGCAACCACUUACCUCUAACUACGGACAACAGCACGCAUUAGCGCCUCCUGAGAGAGUUCUCUUUCCUCCUGCCUGAUACAGAAGACAUUUUUUAUAAUAAUGAGAACAUUGUGCAAUAUGCAGAGACAGUGCUGAUGGGCAGUGGAAAGUGAAGCUUCUACAAAAACAAACAGCAAUUUAUGUAACUUCUUGUCUUUUUAAGUGCAUAUGGAGUCAUGGGAGGUUGCGAGACCGGUGUGGUGGACCAUCUUCUGGAGUUUAAAGGAGCCUUCCUGCCAGUGCAGUAUUUGUGGUCAAGCUGAAUCGUUUUGACUGUCAUCAGCCACUGGAGGGUCUGCUUAGCGAUCUCAGUUCUGUACCUGGGAGGCUGGCAGGCUCCAGUGAGAAAAGAGAACAGCUGGGAUGUGUGGAGGGCUGGGCAGCAAGCAAAGAGGGACAGUAGUAAAGCUGGAGUUUUCUCUUAAGUUUGCAGACUGGGUUUGUGUUUUCUUGUUCUUUUUUAAUGGCUGAGGGUGGGGGCUGAGAUACAAGCGGGGAGCGAAUCUAGAAGAUCCUAAAGACAACUCUGGAGUAGGAUGGAGCCCAAGCCAUACUGUUGGUCAUAGCCUCUGCCUUUCUUUUCUCUCACAUUCCUUAGAGGAAGAAACACAAUGCAGAACAGGGCAGUUCCUCUGUUUUCCUACUGCUGCUUAGCCAGCACUUCUGGUGUUUGUUGUGGAAGUGGCCAAGGCCUCUGAAAAUGGGUUCCAGUGUGCCUGGCACUGUUUUUGAGUUGGAAUGAGAAGCCUUUUAAGUGAGGCAUCUGAGCGUAGUUUUGACUCCCUUACAAAAGAUCAGGUAACUCUCUAUAUGCUUCUUUCUUAGUUAAGAAGUUGCUUUAAUGCAACUUUCCUUCUACCGUUGCUGCUAGCCUGCAAGCCAUGGUAUGUAAAUCCUGAGUAUGGAGAGCAAAAGAGCCAGGGACUGCCUUGCUUUGGUUCAGUUACACACCACAGAAACAUGGAACUGGUGGGGUUGGUUUGGUUUCCAGGCAGGAGGUGGCUUCAGGGAAUCGGAAUCAUUUUGCUGCAAACAAAUGGGGAGAAGGGAUAUGCAGAGUCCAUCCUUACUGUUCAUGAAGGUUUUUGUAAAAUAAACAAAAAGCAAUAUCAGUUUAUAUUGUUAAUAUGCUAUUGAGAGUGAGUGUUAUUAAUGCAGCUGGUGGUGCUUUGAGAAACUGAAGACCCUCCUCUUACAGCUGAACUAUGGGCAUACACCUGUGCUUAAACAGUUAUUUCCCCGAGGAUAAAAAAUAACAUUAGUGUGAUUCCUUCUCACAAAACUGAUCUAAUAGCAUAUUAUGAGAUUAUGCUGACUUUGGCCUUGCCAGGGACAAAGGAAAAUAAAAGGCUUUGUGACGUUGUCAGGUUUUGCUGACUUCCGUUAAUGUGAUUUACCAGAAGCUUGGAUCCUAGUGAUGAACUCAGUACAAAUAAUUUAGCUGGUUUUCUGUGCAGAGCCAAGAGCUUCCUAAACUGAGAAAUUGCAUGAAGUACCAAAUAAAGUGCGGGAAACGAGGAAAGGCCUUUGUUUAGUUUGACUGUUGGGAAAGACAGAAGUUCAGGGAAGCCAGGUCUGUGAGGUAACAGCUGCCUUUGGUGCUUUUCUGUUUUUGGGGGUUUAUGGGUUUUGUUUGUUUGUUUUUAACGCUGACUAAAGCUCAGCAGCUUGAAAAGCAAACUCUUGCCUUCAGUGAGAAUGGAGCUCAGAAGCUGUAAGUUCUGGGUUCCCAUUUGUCUUUGGCAUUUCCCUCUGAGGUUUCUUCCCUCCCUCUUGGACUGGUUCUGCUUUGGGCUCUGCCCCAGCACCUGUUUCUGAGCUGCACGAAACAAACUGUACUGGUGGGGGAUCUUCACCUCUGUUGACUUUCUGUACCAGAACUUAAUGUUAUUUUCUGUUGUCAUAUAAAAGAGCCAAAUGGCUUGUUGUGUCUUAAA